rnacentral:rRNA from 1 species
GAUGAACGCUAGCUACAGGCUUAACACAUGCAAGUCGCGCGGCAGCAGGGGGGUUGCUUGCAAUCCCCGAUAGCGACCGGCGCACGGGUGAGUCACGCGUAACCAACCUGCCCUUCACCACGGGCUAACCCGGCGAAAGUCGGACUAAUACCGUCUGUUGUCCAUUGACGGCAUCCGAUUAAAACGAACGACUGGGCGACGAGGGAUGGGGCUGCGUCUGAUUUGCCUGACGGGGGGGUAACGGCCCACCGUGGCCACGAUUGGUAGGGGGUCGGAGAGGAAGGUCCCCCAGACUGGAACUGGGACAAGGCCCAGACGGCUACGGGAGGCAGCAGUGAGGAAGAAUGGGAAGUGGGUGUAAGCCUGAACCAGCCAAGUAGCGAGCAGGAGGACGGCCCUAUGGGUUGUUAACUGCUUUUAUGCGGGGAUAAAGGGGCCGACGUGUGGGAUUGUGAAGGUACCGCAUGAAUAAGGACCGGCUAAUUCCGUG